rnacentral:tRNA from 1 species
GAGAAAGUGGCUGAGCGGUUUAAAGCGGCGGAUUGUAAUUCCGUUAGGUUUUCCUAUCACAAGUUCAAAUCUUGUCUUUCUCA